GACCGCUCCGGUAACCUAGUGGUUAGAGCAUCUGCCUCGCAUGUGGGAGGUUGUGGGUUCUAUCCCCGGUCGAGUCA